UUGUAGCUGCAGAAAAUCCUCUUUCUCUUUCGUCUUGUAUGUAAUUAGAUUAGAUAUGUAGUUUUAUUUAUUUAUUUAUUAUAUAGUUUAUAAAUUUUAAUAUUGCCUCUUGAGAUGCCAUUGAUUGAUAUUCAAUUGAUUAAUGGUUAAUCUCAUCAUCUAUGUUAAGUGGCAUAGAUUUUUUGCAGCCGUGUUGAGUCACUUCACCUUCGUUUUUCCACAGGUGCAGUGAAUAAACAGACUGUUAAAUCUUUCAAUUCCCAAAUUUUUGAUUUUGUAGUAGUAACAAUUUUAUGUUUGUGUUUGUUUGGGUAAAAAAUGUUGG
rnacentral:lncRNA from 1 species